UAGUCCGCACGAGCGCACCCUUAUCCUUAGUUGCCAGCACGUAAUGGUGGGAACUCUNAGGAGACUGCCGGUGACAAACCGGAGGAAGGUGGGGACGACGUCAAGUCAUCAUGGCCCUUACGAGAUGGGCUACACACGUGCUACAAUGGCAAGUACAAAGGGUUGCAAACUCGCGAGAGUAAGCGGAUCCCAUAAAGCUUGUCGUAGUCCGGAUUGGAGUCUGCAACUCGACCCCAUGAAGUCGGAAUCGCUAGUAAUCGUGGAUCAGAAUGCCACGGUGAAUACGUUCCCGGGCCUUGUACACACCGCCCGUCACACCAUGGGAGUGGGCUGCAAAAGAAGUGGAUAGCUUAACCUUCGGGAGGGCGUUCACCACUUUGUGGUUCAUGACUGGGGUGAAGUCGUAACAAGGUAGCCGUAGGGGAACCUGCGGCUGGAUCACCUCCUU
rnacentral:rRNA from 1 species